CACCGUGAGGUGGGAUCUGAAGGAAGCUGGAUUCGGGGAAUAUACUAACCCGAGGGCAAACCUCUGGCCUGACGUACAGAAAUCUCAUAUAAGGUCUCAUGCGAGGGUAAGACUGCAAAUCAAGCCGAAGCCCGAUUACUACACGGAAUCGCAUGGGAUAAAUGAGACAGGUAGAUGGAGGGAAAGAAAC
rnacentral:ncRNA from 1 species